rnacentral:rRNA from 1 species
UCGCUGUGACGUGGGUGGUUCGCCGCCUACGAUGCUGCGAGAAAGUCAUUGAACCUUAUCAUUUAGAGGAAGGAGAAGUCGUAACAAGGUUUCCGUAGGUGAACCUGCGGAAGGAUCAUUGUCGAGACCCAAAUGAGAUCGAGCGAUUUGAUAACUUGUGAAUUAUUUUGGCAGCUCACAUCAGUUGCCGCGCACCGCUCCGUCUGUUGCAUGAAACACUCGGUGGGACCAUGCUAUAGGCGGAGGGGAGAUCAAUUGGGCGCAGCUUUGUGCCAAGGUAAAUUUGUAGCAUGAGCAGCGCCAACAACAUCUACGCAAGGUGCACUGUAUCUCGUGGAGUUGUUGCUGCGCUUUUUGAGAAUUGUAGGACUCUCGGCAAUGGAUAUCUUGGCUCUCGCAUCGAUGAAGAGCGCAGCGAAAUGCGAUACGUGGUGCGAAUUGCAGAAUCCCGUGAACCAUCGAGUAUUUGAACGCAAGUUGCGCCCGAGGCCAGCUGGCCGAGGGCACGUCCGCCUGGGCGUCAAGCAUUGAAUCGCCCCAUUGUACACCGCACCUUCGAUGCUGUGCGAUGGUGUUGUCUCGGGUGCGGAGAAUGGCCCGUCAUGUGUGAUGUGUGGCGGGCUGAAGAGCCGGAUGCUUUUUCUCUUGGCGACGAUCGAUUAAUGGGUGGGUAUGAUUUUGUCAUCGUCGGAUUGCUUUGAGAAAGCUGUACACAUCCUAGCCCCAAUAACCCAAGCCAUGUGCUGCAAGCAAAUGGAAAUGCGACCCCAGGAUGGGCGGGGUGACCCGCUGAGUUUAAGCAUAUCAAUAAGCGGAGGA